AUACGUAGGGUGCAAGCGUUAAUCGGAAUUACUGGGCGUAAAGCGUGCGCAGGCGGUUUUGUAAGACGGUGGUGAAAUCCCCGGGCUCAACCUGGGAACUGCCAUUGUGACUGCAAGGCUGGAGUGCGGCAGAGGGGGAUGGAAUUCCGCGUGUAGCAGUGAAAUGCGUAGAUAUGCGGAGGAACACCGAUGGCGAAGGCAAUCCCCUGGGCCUGCACUGACGCUCAUGCACGAAAGCGUGGGGAGCAAACAGGAUUAGAUACCCUGGUAGUCCACGCCCUAAACGAUGUCAACUGGUUGUUGGGGAUUUAUUUUCUCAGUAACGAAGCUAACGCGUGAAGUUGACCGCCUGGGGAGUACGGCCGCAAGGUUAAAACUCAAAGGAAUUGACGGGG
rnacentral:rRNA from 1 species